rnacentral:rRNA from 1 species
UACGUAGGGCGCAAGCGUUGUCCGGAAUUAUUGGGCGUAAAGAGCUCGUAGGCGGUUUGUCGCGUCUGCUGUGAAAACCUAAGGCUCAACCUUGGGCUUGCAGUGGGUACGGGCAGACUAGAGUGUGGUAGGGGAGACUGGAAUUCCUGGUGUAGCGGUGAAAUGCGCAGAUAUCAGGAGGAACACCGAUGGCGAAGGCGGGUCUCUGGGCCACUACUGACGCUGAGAAGCGAAAGCAUGGGGAGCGAACAGG